GACCCGUUGGCCAAGUGGUUAAGACACGGCCCUUUCACGGCCGUAACAUGGGUUCAAAUCCCGUACGGGUCA
rnacentral:tRNA from 1 species